rnacentral:rRNA from 1 species
UACGGAGGGUGCGAGCGUUGUCCGGAAUUACUGGGCGUAAAGGGCGCGUAGGCGGCCUGUUAAGUAGGGGGUGAAAUCUUGCGGCUUAACCGCAAGGCUGCCUUCUAAACUGUCAGGCUAGAGCACAGUAGAGGCAGGUGGAAUUCCCGGUGUAGCGGUGGAAUGCGUAGAGAUCGGGAAGAACAUCAGUGGCGAAGGCGGCCUGCUGGGCUGUUGCUGACGCUGAGGCGCGACAGCGUGGGGAGCAAACAGG